rnacentral:rRNA from 1 species
AUCUUCCGUAAUGGACGAAAGUCUGACGGAGCAACGCCGCGCGAGUGAUGAAGGCUUUCGGGUCGUAAAACUCUGUUGUUUGGGAAGAACAAGUGCUAGUUGAAUAAGCUGGCACCUUGACGGUACCUAACCAGAAAGCCACGGCUAACUACGUGCCAGCAGCCGCGGUAAUACGUAGGUGGCAAGCGUUAUCCGGAAUUAUUGGGCGUAAAGCACGCGCAGGUGGUUUCUUAGGUCUGCUGUGAAAACCCACGGCUCAACCGUGGAGGGUCAUUGGAAACUGGGAGACUUGAGUGCAGAAGAGGAAAGUGGAAGUCCAUGUGUAGCGGUGAAAUGCGUAGAGAUAUGGAGGAACACCAGUGGCGAAGGCGACUUUCUGGUCUGUAACUGACACUGAGGCGCGAAAGCGUGGGGAGCAAACAG